CUUAGCUCAGUUGGUAGAGCAUUUGAUUUGUAAUCAAACGGUCACUGGUUCGAACCCGGU
rnacentral:tRNA from 1 species